CCGGGUGUGUGUCUGACUUGGGUUUGUGUGAGAGAGAGAGAGAGAGAGAGAGAGAGAGAGAGAGAGAGAGAGAGAGAGAGAGAGAGAGAGAGAGAGGACUGGGGCAGGAGUUGUGUAAAAGGGGCUGAAGUCCUGCGCUGCGUCCUCCUCCUCCUCCUCCUCCUCCUGCUGCUCCUGCUGCUGCUGCUGCCGCUUCCUCGCUGAAAAAGUAGACUCUCCGACCAGAUACAUAAACGCUGCCACACCGUUUUAUAUCGUGGAUGUAAAACAAACAAAAAAACAGACAUCGACACACCCUGCUGAAGGUCCAGGACUCCGAGAGAGAGAGAGAGAGCGAGAGAGAGAGCGGUGGGCGAGGCAGCCUGAACUCCGCCGGACCGUUCAGAUGUGCUGGCCGCGCAGGAGCGACCCGGCCGGUGGUCAAGGAAUAUGUGCACCUAAAAGCAGAUGAACAAAGGAGAAGGAGUCUCCAUUUGUGCCUUAAAGCGGGUCGUCCAUCACUCCAGGCUUGUCUGGUUCGAACUCUCACGCUCGCUGGCUGACUCCCAGCACUCCCUCAACCCUUGGCCCUGAAUGGCUGACACACAGCAGUUCUUCACUGGCAAGCUUUAUGUUCCUGUACACAUGCUAAAGCUGCCAGCUGAAGAACUGCUCUGGUCAGCCCUGCCCCGGAUGACUCAAGAAGAGGAAGCGGAUGGGGGGGGGGUUGAUGGGAAGAGGACAGAGGAAGGCGGUGUUUCACACACUCAGUAGACAGACUGGACUUUAAUAACCUGCCAGAUUUGAGCCACCAUUGUUUAUAUUCCCGUGUUAAUCAUAUGUAAGGUAUAUUUAACUUUAGUCAGUACAAAAUGUUUAGUUUGCGGGCACACAUGUUGUCUUUUUCCUGCAAGAAUCUGCUCAGAUUUUGUCUGUAAUGUGUUUUCUUACAAUAAACAAAAUAUUUUCUCAGA